UGGGGAAUAUUGCACAAUGGACGGAAGUCUGAUGCAGCAACGCCGCGUGCGGGAUGACGGCCUUCGGGUUGUAAACCGCUUUUUCUCAUGACGAAGUUUUUUGACGGUAGUGGGGGAAGAAGCACCGGCUAACUACGUGCCAGCAGCCGCGGUGAUACGUAGGGUGCGAGCGUUGUCCGGAAUUAUUGGGCGUAAAGAGCUUGUAGGCGGUUUGUCGCGUCGAUAGUGCAAACUCAGUGCUUAACGCUGAGCCUGCUGUUGAUACGGGCAGACUAGAGGAAGGUAGGGGAGAAUGGAAUUCCCGGUGGAGCGGUGGAAUGCGCAGAUAUCGGGAGGAACACCGGGGGCGAAGGCGGUUCUCUGGGCAUUUCCUGACGCUGAGAAGCGAAAGCGUGGGGAGCGAACAGG
rnacentral:rRNA from 1 species